AUUGAACGCUGGCGGCAGGCCUAACACAUGCAAGUCGAACGAGUGGCGGACGGGUGAGUAAUGUCUGGGAAACUGCCUGCUGGAGGGGGAUAACUACUGGAAACGGUAGCUAAUACCGCAUACUAUCAGAUGUGCCCAGAUGGGAUUAGCUUGUUUGUGGGUUAACGGCGCACCAAGGCGACGAUCCCUAGCUGGUCUGAGAGGAUGACCAGCAACCCGGGAACUGGGACACGGUCCAGACUCCUACGGAAGGCAGCAGUGGGGAAUAUUGCACAGUGGGCGCAAUCCUGAUGCAGCCAUGCCGCUGGUAUGAAGAAGGCCUUCGGUUUGUAAAGUACUUUCAGCGGGGAGGCGUUACCCGCAGAAGAAGCACCGGCUAACUCCGUGCCAGCAGCCGCGGUAAUUC
rnacentral:rRNA from 1 species